UGGGGAAUUUUGGACAAUGGGGGAAACCCUGAUCCAGCCAUCCCGCGUGUGCGAUGAAGGCCUUCGGGUUGUAAAGCACUUUUGGCAGGAAAGAAACGUCAUGGGUUAAUACCCCGUGAAACUGACGGUACCUGCAGAAUAAGCACCGGCUAACUACGUGCCAGCAGCCGCGGUAAUACGUAGGGUGCAAGCGUUAAUCGGAAUUACUGGGCGUAAAGCGUGCGCAGGCGGUUCGGAAAGAAAGAUGUGAAAUCCCAGAGCUCAACUUUGGAACUGCAUUUAACUACCGGGCUAGAGUGUGUCAGAGGGAGGUGGAAUUCCGCGUGUAGCAGUGAAAUGCGUAGAUAUGCGGAGGAACACCGAUGGCGAAGGCAGCCUCCUGGGAUAACACUGACGCUCAUGCACGAAAGCGUGGGGAGCAAACAGG
rnacentral:rRNA from 1 species